rnacentral:rRNA from 1 species
GGCAAGCGUUGUCCGGAAUUAUUGGGCGUAAAGCGCGCGCAGGCGGUCCUUUAAGUCUGAUGUGAAAGCCCACGGCUCAACCGUGGAGGGUCAUUGGAAACUGGGGGACUUGAGUGCAGAAGAGGAGAGUGGAAUUCCACGUGUAGCGGUGAAAUGCGUAGAGAUGUGGAGGAACACCAGUGGCGAAGGCGACUCUCUGGUCUGUAACUGACGCUGAGGCGCGAAAGCGUGGGGAGCGAACAGGAUUAGAUACCCUGGUAGUCCACGCCGUAAACGAUGAGUGCUAAGUGUUAGAGGGUUUCCGCCCUUUAGUGCUGCAGCUAACGCAUUAAGCACUCCGCCUGGGGAGUACGGCCGCAAGGCUGAAACU